rnacentral:rRNA from 1 species
UACGGAGGGGGCAAGCGUUGUUCGGAAUUACUGGGCGUAAAGGGUGCGUAGGCGGCGCGGUAAGUCGGGUGUGAAAUCUCCGGGCUUAACCCGGAAAGGUCAACUGAUACUGUGCGACUAGAGUGCGGAAGGGGCAACUGGAAUUCUCGGUGUAGCGGUGAAAUGCGUAGAUAUCGAGAGGAACACCUGCGGCGAAGGCGGUUGCUGGGCCGACACUGACGCUGAUGC